AGAAGUAUUUUCCUGCUUUAAAAAUGACUCGCCGACAGCACGAUGUGUGCCGAUUUUUACUUUUCCAGCAAUUUGGGGAGCAGGUGUCAGUAGUUGGCAAAUAUUUACUACAAAAAUCUCCAUCACCACUUCAUCUUAUUUCGUCAGAAACACACUUGGACACUGAACAGGUGAAGAAAAUUUUGUGCAUUCUAAUACAGCAAAACAUAGUGACAUUUGGACAACACAAGAGAGGGUUUAUUGAAUACUCAAUCAGGACUGGUGAGAUUCUAAACCGAUUGUGGUUUCCAAAGUAUAUUUAUUGUGCAAAAACUUUGUAUGGAGAUGCUGCUGAACUGCUAUUGGAGGAUGUCUUACAGAGAGGUCAAGUGCAAAUGUCAAAAGUCAUUGAAGUGGUGAUGCAGAGAUUUAAUGAAGCACUUGAAACUUCAGGAAAGCAAAAGAUCUCGGAGAGUUUCGUGGUUGACAAGUUCUCUAACUUGGUGAGGACACAUUUUCUGCAAAGAUGCUUGGAUCCAAUCAAAUCUGAAUCAAACAAAGUUGUGGGCCUUGAAGUGACUGGAGAGGAGGAGACUCUGUACAGAUUACCAGAUUUGUCAAGAAAGAGGAAAAAAUCACAUGAUGAUGGUCCACCAGCCAAAAGGUCCAAGUCUGAAGUAGAGGGAGAGAGGCCAGCUGAUGAUGAAGGCGAUGGAAUUUUUUGGAGGGUCAACAACGAGCGAUUCCAUCAAAUGUUUAGAGACCAGGCCAUUGUACAAGCAAUCUCCAGCAAGAUUGAUAGAAGUGCCGGGGAAGUACUCCGAGCAAUGUUGAGGGUCAGUGAAGUCAAAACGGCUGGAAUGGCCACUGUUACGACCCCCAUAUCUGUUACAGAGAUAUUUAAUGCCCUGCCUAAAGACCUAAUGGCACGCCCCCUGCUGGAGACUUACUUGUCACUCAUAUGUGAUGAUUCUACUAACUUCCUGUCCAAGGUUGGAGACAGUGGAGGGGGGAUGUACUCCAUCAACAUUUAUGAAGCACUUGCACAACUGGUCAAGGCUCACAUAGAAUCUGUUGUACAGGAAAGGUUUGGGUCAAAAUGUUUGAGAAUAUUCAGAGUUUUACUGUUAAAAAAGCAUCUUGAACAGAAGCAGAUUGAAGAUUUUGUCAUGAUAUCCGCAAAGGAAGCCAAAGACCUUUUAUAUACCUUAUUCUCAGAAAACUUCAUCACCACUACAGAAAUCUCCAAGACCCCUGACCAUGCCCCCUCCCGGACCUUCUACCUCUUUACUGUCAACAUUCAGCACGUGGCAUCUAUGGUGCUGAAUAGGUGUUACAAGGCCUUGUAUAAUGCAAUGGUGAAGAAAGAAACAGAAGUAAAUGAACACAGACGUUUGCUGGACAAACAGGAGAGAAUGGAGGCCAUUGCUGCCUCUGUAGAGGAUGCCAGUCAGCGAGAUGAGAUCCUAAAUACCAUAACCCCCUCAGAACAGGAGCAGAUCAUAAAAGUCCGGCGCACAAUCCAGAUGUUAGUCUUCUAUUAUUUAUCAUUGCAUAUUGUCAUUACCAUCCUUUACCUUAUACAUGUACGAGUACAGGUAUUUUUCUCUUAUUCCAUAGAGACAACUUUGAGCAAUUGAAUACGAUUAGAUUUGCAUAAAGCUUCUUGAUUUUAACACCCCCCUCCAAAAAAUAAUAACAAAAAUGAUAAUAAAAUCAACAAAAUUAGUAUUUUAUAUAACUGAAGAUUCAUUUUUUAUUUUCAUGAAACUUUAAAAGUUACAAUGUAUUAAAGUAUUUGAUUUUUUCUUCCAGGUUAGACCAUAGUGAACUGCAGAUCUGUGAGGGAAUAUUUAUUUUGGAAAUGUAUUUGAUGUAUUUUAAACAAAGACAGAAGGAUAAGUCAUAAUAAAUAAUUUUCUAUCU
rnacentral:misc_RNA from 1 species